rnacentral:rRNA from 1 species
GGUUGUCGUCAGCUCGUGCCGUGGAGGUGUCGGGUUAAGUCCUAUAACGAGCGCAACCCCUACCUUUAGUUGCCAUCAGGUUAAGCUGGGGACUCUAAAGGAACUGCCUACGCAAGUAGUGAGGAAGCGGGGAUGACGUCAAAUCAGCACGGCCCUUACGUCCAGGGCUACACACGUGCUACAAUGGCCGAUACAGAGGGCAGCUACCUGGUGACAGGAUGCAAAUCUCCAAAGUCGGUCUCAGUUCGGAUCGGAGUCUGCAACCCGACUCCGUGAAGUUGGAUUCGCUAGUAAUCGCGCAUCAGCCAUGGCGCGGUGAAUACGUUCCCGGGCCUU